rnacentral:rRNA from 1 species
CCUACGGGUGGCAGCAGUGGGGAAUAUUGGACAAUGGGCGAAAGCCUGAUCCAGCCAUGCCGCGUGUGUGAAGAAGGCCUUCGGGUUGUAAAGCACUUUCAGUGGGGAAGAAAGCCUUGGGGCUAAUACCCUCGAGGAAGGACAUCACCCACAGAAGGAGCACCGGCUAACUCCGUGCCAGCAGCCGCGGUAAUACGGAGGGUGCGAGCGUUAAUCGGAAUUACUGGGCGUAAAGCGCGCGUAGGCGGUCUGAUAAGCCGGUUGUGAAAGCCCCGGGCUCAACCUGGGAACGGCAUCCGGAACUGUCAGGCUAGAGUGCAGGAGAGGAAGGUAGAACUCCCGGUGUAGCGGUGAAAUGCGUAGAGAUCGGGAGGAAUACCAGUGGCGAAGGCGGCCUUCUGGACUGACACUGACGCUGAGGUGCGAAAGCGUGGGUAGCAAACAGGAUUAGAUACCCGUGUAGUC